GAUGAACGCUAGCGGCAGGCCUAAUACAUGCAAGUCGAACGAUACCAGAGAGCUUGCUUUCUGGGAAAGUGGCGCACGGGUGCGUAACGCGUAUGCAACCUACCUUAAUCAGGGGGAUAGCCUCUCGAAAGAGAGAUUAACACCGCAUAAAAUCACACUUCGGCAUCGAAGAAUGAUCAAAUAUUUAUAGGAUUAAGAUGGGCAUGCGUGACAUUAGCUAGUUGGUGAGGUAACGGCUCACCAAGGCUACGAUGUCUAGGGGAUCUGAGAGGAUGACCCCCCACACUGGUACUGAGACACGGACCAGACUCCUACGGGAGGCAGCAGUAAGGAAUAUUGGGCAAUGGACGGAAGUCUGACCCAGCCAUGCCGCGUGCAGGAAGAAGGCCCUAUGGGUUGUAAACUGCUUUUCUGAGGGAAGAAAAAUAUGUAUUUAUAGGUAUCUGACGGUACCUCAGGAAUAAGCACCGGCUAACUCCGUGCCAGCAGCCGCCGUAACAC
rnacentral:rRNA from 1 species